rnacentral:lncRNA from 1 species
CUCUGUCCCCCAGGAGAGGACGCAAGUCCCCUUCUCUGUCCCCCAGGAGAGGACGCAAGUCCCCUUCUCUGUCCCCCAGGAGAGGACGCAAGUCCCCUUCUCUGUCCCCCAGGAGAGGACGCAAGUCCCCUUCUCUGUCCCCCAGGAGAAGGCGCAAGUCCCCUUCUCUGUCCCCCAGGAGAAGGCGCAAGUCGUCUCCUUUGUCCCCCAGGAGGGGACGCAAGUCGUCUCCUUUGUCCCCCAGGUGGGGACGCAAGUCUUCUCCUUUGUCCCCUAGGAGGGGCCGCAAACUGUCUCCGUCUCCAAGACGAGGGCGGCGGUCUGAGUCCAGGCCUCGUGGUCGUGUCAGGAGGUCGAGGAUCAGGACCCCUCCCCCUCGUCGUGGUAGACCCUCGAGGUCCCGCUCGCCUGUGAGGCUGACUCGCCGCUCACGCUCCAAAUCUAGACGGCUCCGUCAUUCCCGGUCCCGGAGAAGAGGUCGGCGCUCCAAGAGCAGCUCCCCGUCUCACAGGAAGAGGUCCCCCCCCAGGACACGACGGUCCCGGUCUCCAGUCAGGAGAGGCAAGCGUACUCGCUCCCGCUCUGUCGUGAUCCUGAAGAGGAACAGGAAAGGCUCACUGUCCAAAUCCCCAACCGGCAAGAACACCAAGUCCCGCUCCAGGAGCUGCAGGAAAUCCAGUUCACCAGUACAGAAAAUACUUUCUAGAUCACCAAAGCGGAGCAGGACAAAGUCCAGAUCCCCAAGACGCAGUAAACCAUCAAGAUCACCAUCGCCAUGUAACAGGUCUCGUACUCCUAAAUCCAAAUCCCUGAAAAGAAACAAGUGUUCACUGUCAAAAUCGCCCAAAAGAGACAUAUCGAAAUCCAGGUCUGUCUUAAGCGACAGGCAAUCUGAGAGCGUAUCCCCAGAACGCUCAAGAUCCAGGUCUGCUGCCAAAGACCUGAAAUCGGUCAAACAUACUGCAGACAAGACUGUGAAUGAUGAAGCACCUACCAAGCCUGUUGGGGAGGCUGUAGCAGCAGCUGCAGCAGGGCCCUGGAAGCCCUUCCCUUGGGCUGCAGCCUCCAGUUCUAUCAUACAGGGCAAGCCAGUGGCUGGGCAGGCUGACGAGAGCAGCUCUGAGAUUCCAUCUGAAGACCAUGACUCCGCAGCAGAAUAUCCAAAGGGAGCAAGAAGCCCAACAAGCUCCUCUGAAGAAGAGCCAGAUGAGCAUGCUAUCUCCAGGUCUGUUUCACCAGAGACCGUUUGUGCUGAUCGUCGCUACAGGGCAUCAUCUUCUAAAUCCUCCAUCAAGAAGGCAUCAUCCUUGAAACAACGUCAGUCCUCAAAAUCAGCAUCUCCUGCCAGGAAGUCCCACUCACCUGCCGGCAGAAAGACGUCCACCUCUCCCUCACGGAGGUGCUCCCGGUCCAAGUCUACCUCUCCCUCUCAGUCCAAAUCUGCCUCUAGAAGGAGGUGUUCCAAGUCCCCAUCCAGGAAAAGGAAGUCUGUCUCCCCGCCUGCCAGACGGAAGAAGAGGUCCAAGUCCAGAAGUCCUGUCCGGCGCAGGAGAUCACGCUCUAAGUCACCAGCACGGCGCAGGAAAUCGCGUUCCAAGUCCAGGGCCAAGCACUCAAAGUCCCGCUCCCCGGCCAGAAGGAAGAGGUCCAAAUCCACAGACAGGAGCAAACGCCUCAAGUCUCGCUCUCCAGGCCGGAGGAGAAGGUCCGGGUCGCGACGGCGCCGACCCAUCAUGCGAAAUCGCUCGUUUGACCGCCGCGACCGAUGGAAACGGGAACCAAGCCAUUCACCCAUCCUCAUCCUCCGCAAGCGCCGGUCCACAUCUCGAACCCGCCGCAGUGCCAGCAAGACCCCUCCUCGUCUCACUGAGCUGGACAAAGACCAGCUCCUGGAGAUAGCGAAGGCCAAUGCAGCAGCCAUGUGUGCUAAAGCAGGUGUGCCCAUUCCAGAGAGUCUGAGACCCAAGGCCAUCCUCCAGCUUCCCCUGCCCAACCCAGCCCCAACCCCUCUGAAUCUGCCUCUUCCCCUGCCCUUGCCUCUCAACAUGCCCGGCAUGGGAAUUCCCAACAUGAACAUGCCCAACAUGAACAUGCCCAACAUGAACAUGUCCAAUAUGGCCAUGAGUGCUGCCAUGGCCAGUAUGAAAGCUGCCACCAUGACUGCAGCCCUCACCAACAUGGCCCAGAUGUCAAACAUGCCCCAGAUGGCUCCCCUCCCCACCAUCACCAACAAGCCCCCUCCUAGCCAGGCUCCCCAAACAACCCUCCCCCCCCUCAACCUGGACCACAUAGAGGAGGUGAAGAGGAAGGUGACUCAGCAGGCCAACAUCUACAGCAUCAAGGAGCUCACUGAGAAAUGUAAGAUGAUAGCGGCAAGUAAAGAGGAGAUGGCCGUAGCGAAGCCGCACGUGUCUGAUGACGAGGAUGAGGACAGGAAGCCCUGUGGCAAAAGCUUCUUAAGUUAACUUUCUUUGGGGCGCAUCAGAGGUACUCCCCAUGGAUACCAUCACCAGGUGGACAGAAGUCAAGGUUGUUGUGGUUAUAGAGCAGGAACCUCAUCAGAUACUGCCAGCCCUUGUUCUCUGGAUAAUCAUUCCCUCCCCAGCCCCUCCUAUCAGUAUUCUAGCUGUCUGGGGAAGUGUUUGAAACGUCAGUGAUACUGUGUCCCAUUGGACAGACUGGCCUGAGUGUUCUUGUGUGUCAUUGGACUGAUUGCAGUGUGUACAGUGUGGUUAUCCCUAGCUUCUACACGUUGCUCAGACAGAGCUCUCUGGACAAUGACUGAAGCAAAAUGAUAUAGGAACAUAUUUUCAAUGUUUUGUCAACCCUUUCUAAUGUUAAACUUCUGUUUCUUUUUUAUUGUGUUCAGUAAUAAUAUUUCCACCUCAUGGUUCCUUUAGUGACAUUUUAACCUGUAAUUAAGUGAACUGCUCGGUCUGCCCUCAGCACGCACGGGCACACAAAUACACACAUCAGUAAUAUGAUGGUCAGGUGUGUCUUUAGUGACGGGCAGACCGACCAGGUCUCUCCAUUGAGAAGACAAACUUAUCAGGUCUUUGUAGGAUCCACUCUAAAUGUUUUGUCACUUUUUCUCCAUAUAUUAACUGAUGUAAUCUUUAGCUAUUUUAAUGACAAAUACAUUUUAGAAUUUCCGUGAUCAGUAGUAGAAUAUUAUUUGGCUGGCUUUGUACAUAAUAUGUUGAUUAUUAAAGGAAACCAGUAAAUGACCUGUUGUUUAAUGUUCUUUAUGUAGGAGCCUAACUGUUAAGGUCCACUUUUUUUUCUAAAUCUUUACCUUGUGGUCAGUACUGCAGGGGUGUAUUCAUUACGCUGAUUCUGUUGCGAAACGUUUCUCCAAUAGAAACUUGUUUUAAUUGUUUGUAUUAAUUACUGCUGAUGUAUUAUAUAUUCUUUGAUUCUAAUCAGAGACUGAUUCAGACCUGGAACACAAGUUUUUUAGUUUGCUUGAACACUUGCUAUGUUUUGAAACAGUUUCUAUUGAACGAUACUUUACACCAAAAUGUUCUUGAACAGACUUUGAGGUACGUUUGCUCCCGUUUGAUGAGUGUGGUGAGGUGUGGCUUGAACCAAUGAGUGAC